GUCUCACUGAAGUCAAUGGGACUUCCAUCCACUGCAUUGAAUGGCUGUGGGAAAGCUCUUGAGUACUUAAUUCCAGAAGUACUCAGACCCUUUCAGAGCAAUCUUUGGGACAAAAGAAGUGUUGGGAGGAAGCAAACGAUCACAACAAUGGACUGACAGUGGACCACCACGGUGCUAGAAGGCUAGAUGACACUGAAGAUCAAAGGCUAGAUGACACUGAGGAUUGGCAAAUAAGGCUGUGUCUGUCUGGCAACCUUUGGAGGUGGAUAGGAUAAUGAAUUUGGGAUGUAACGGAUAUGUAAUACAUGUGAAAAUAUAACCUGUUCAUUUCUUGGAGAUCAUUUCUUGGAGAGUUAUCUUGAUGCUACCCCAGGGUUGCCAAUAAAGAAUACCUUGCUUAAGGGUAACA
rnacentral:lncRNA from 1 species